AUCCCGGAAGACACCAAUGAUAACAAUCAGCAAAAGUUCUCGGAUCCAAUCUCUGCUCAGGUGUUAUGAGCUUCCCAGCUCGAGAACCGUAGAAUGAGGUAUGCCCAUCUUUUCUGUACUCUGACAUCGUCGUUAUGUUGAGGAAAUGUAUCGGCACUGUUGUUGAUUUCGUCACAUUCACUGCGAUUUCGUAUAGUCUUCGAUUUGUUCCAACAUCUAGUCUUGACAUGUUUAGUAUUGGUUCUGUCUCUCUUUCACAUUUGGUUCCUUCAUUGAAUCCCCAAUCUGAACUCCUGUUUGCAAUAGAAAAGGAUUAGUCUUUGCAAAGUUUUGAUUUUUUGUUUUGUGGGUGGGUUUUGAUCAUUUAGUACCUGAUAUGAGUUGGUGACAUGCUGCUGAAGAAGAUAGAUGUUUGAUUUGGGUUAAUGUUUUGUUCUAGCCAGUUUGUCCAUGUUGAUAAUACUUGUUUGUAUGCUUUAUAGAUUCCGAUUUGUUCAUAGUCUUUUGAGUCCUUUUUGCUGAAAGAUUCUUGUUUUCUUCAAGCAUCAAAGCAGAAAACUUUAUCAAGAUUGGCAAAAUUGGAGUUUGGAACUUGGUAGAGAGACUAUCUAUAGCUUACAGAUUUUUGAUCUUGGAAUGUCUGGUCCACCAUAUGUAUGUAUUGAAUACAAGGUAGUCUGCGUCUUUCCAGUUCUCCCCGUGCUUCGAGAUUGAUUGCGGCAUGAUUACUGGAUUGGUCUUCCCGUCUCUCUUGUCUGGAGGAUCAGCAUUUGAUUCGACUAGGAAAGGUGCCCAGUAAAAGGAUAUGGUUGUAUUGUACUCCUACACAUUCAAAAUUAGUGGAGAAGGUAAGACUUGGAGUUCUUUUGCUUCUUGGAUUGUUACCUUGUUUUUUUACAUAUAAGAUAUAGUCUUUAAGACCUCUAUGGUGAAGAUAGACAUUUUUGCUGUCUGUUUUAAGGUCUUUUUGCCUGAGGGAACCACGGAUUGGACCAUGCAAACCAUGGAUUGCCACUGAUUAUGAUGUAUCGAAUCACCAACGAAAAUCAGUUUCUUUCCCCUGAGUUUCUCUAGUAGCAGCUUUCCAUCGAACCUAUGACCCAAAAGAAAGUGUUUUGAGAGAAGAAGAAAGUGUUACUUAUGAUGCUUAUCUUUUGUUCUCAGAAAUCUGGAACUGACCUCGGCAAAGAGCAAUCUCGAGGUUGCCAUCUCCAUUUCUGGUACUUAGAGUCUGGCCUCCCGUUUCUUGUACAUGCCACCCAUUCUGCGAGAAACUCACAUUCAUCUUCUUUGUAUAAAGGAUGUGUGACGUUAUCAGGAACCCAUUUUCCUGUGAAAACAUCACAUACGUCUAAUGGCACCAGACUGAUCUUC
rnacentral:lncRNA from 1 species